AUUGUGAGUGGGAGCGUGUGUGUGAGAUUGUGAGUGGGAGCGUCUGUGUGUGAGAUUGUCAGUGGAGCGUGUGUGUGUGAGAUUGUGAGUGAGAGCGUGUGUGAGUGGGAGCGUGUGUGUGAGAUUGUGAGUGGGAGCGUGUGUGUGUGAGAUUGUGAGUGGGAGCGUGUGUGUGUGAGAUUGUGAGUGAGAGCGUGUGUGAGUGGGAGCGUGUGUGUGAGAUUGUGAGUGGGAGCGUGUGUGUGUGAGAUUGUGAGUGGGAGUGUAAUAAAGAUUAAAAUCUAGACAUAUUCUUGUAUAGACACAUUCAUAUAUUUUUGUACAGAUCGCACUCAGAAGUGCUCCAGUUGCUGGGGCUCACUGUCUGCAAAAGAUAAGGUGCAGUGCCAGAAGUGCAAGGCUUGCUACCACACAAGAUGUUUGAAAACUGCAUGUGCCAUCUGUGCUGUAUGUGAAAGGACGAAAGAGAAAUUUGCCACAAGUGGCUCUGAAUCGCCCAAAAAAAGCAAAAACAAAACUCAGCAUCUUCAGUGCCCUGAGCAAAGGAGAAGCUGCUGAACUGGCUUUUGGCUUUGGAAGCCACCUUGGACAGCAUGUGACCAGAGAUAUGAUGAGCGAGGGAAUAAAUCACGAGAAGGCAGAAGCAACAAGGCAGACCCUAUGUACGAUACAGACGAACAUCAACGUUUAGUCUGAUGACCCAUACGUUUGGUCCUGCAGCGGUUGAUUCUAUGUUGUCUUUUCUUAUAGAAAAAUUAAAAGAUAUCUAAAAAGCUCCUGGAGCUUUCCCUGCUCCAUGCAAGUUUUAUUGGUAAAUGGCUAAUUAAAUUAUUCUAUUUAUUUUUCAUUCUUACCUUUAAAGUCCACUUUUACUAGAGAGGCAUUUAUCCCAGUUUUCUUGUGAUUUAAGGUGGCUAUUUGUGUUUUUCUGGCUGCUCUUCACUGACCGAACUCUAUUUUCUACACUGUUCUUUCAGUCACCACUGACCAUAAACUGUAGUUCUAAAAUUAGAAUGUUGCACCAUUUUAAGUUUUUAUUUUUAUUAAGUGUACUUUUGUUUUGUUCUAGUUAUUAAUA